AUUGAACGCUAGCGGGAUGCCUUACACAUGCAAGUCGAACGAGUGGCGGGCGUGUGAGUAAUAUAUCGGACCGUGCCCAGUAGCGGGGGAUAACUAAUGGAAACAGUGGCUAAUACCGCAUAGUAUUGGCUCGGCCGAUAUGGGAUUAGCUAGUUGGUGGGGUAUAGGCUAACAAGGGAAACGAUCCGUAGCUGGUUUGAGAGGACGACCAGCCACACUGGAACGGAGACACGGCCCAGACCCCUACGGGAGGCAGCAGUGGGGAAUUUUGGAAAAUGGGGGAAACCCUGAUCCAGCAAUCCCGCGUGUAUGAGAAGGCCUUCGGGUUGUAAAGUACGUUUAGCAGGGAAGCGGUAUCUGCAGAAUAAGCACCGGCUAACUACGUGCCAGCAGCCGCGGUAAUUC
rnacentral:rRNA from 1 species